rnacentral:sRNA from 2 species
UACGCCGUCUUUGGGGAGUAGCCUUCUUCCCGCAAUGGAAGGAGAACGCGUCAACAUCCUCGGCCUCGUUGCCGUGGCGCGUUCGACCAGCCGGUUUGGCGAGACCAUCGAUGCGCUUCGUCGUUCGUGGCCGGACGGCGUGUGGUGCAUCGUGGUUCGCUGACGUC